rnacentral:lncRNA from 1 species
GGCUCCUUUCUGUAGUUAAAAAAAAGUAAUUUUAUUUAAGGAAUUGAAUAAAGGAACCUGCACUUACACACUUGUGGUUGCCUUUUCUCCCCCAUCACUGGAGUAAAGGAGCAGGUCUCUGCCCUCUUCUCCACCCCAGCUGAUGGUCCCUCUGUCCAUAGAUCUCCCCUGUCCUAGACUGGUUGUUCAUGUUUCUUGUAAUCAUCAUUAAUUCUCAUGUAGGAAAAAAAGUUUUCCUUGAUUAUUUUUCUUUCAUUCUUCAAAAUCCCAGUUGGAAUACAGAAACUCCCUGGGCCUAGGUCCACGAGAGCCACUGGACACAGCAUAGCCUUACCAGACUCAAUCAUAGGCUUUGGCCCAGUUCUGAUUCUGAAGCUUGCCAGUCACACUCCCAUCCCUGAGAACACAAGAACAUCUCAGCACUGAGAACUCAGGCUUCAACCUUGUGAAGACCAGCAGCUAUAGUUUGGAGAGAAAGGAUUGAUCUUUUUUGCCAAGGAAGAGAUCAAUUCAAUAGCUGAAAAGCCAGCAAGGACUGCAGACCUGCUGCUGCUUUGGGCUUUGACUUGGUUUGGCUUAGAGAUGUUUGCCUCUGUCUGUCAGAGAAAUGUUUCUCCUUUCCUUUUCUCUGAUGAUCCCUCACUGCAAAAGGAGAAUAGUGCCAGUGGGUUUGUAAGACACCAAGAUUCCUGCUUAUAUUGAGUUACGUUACUGAAUAGCUGCAGCAGUGCUAGUUAUCAGUGAUUUGUGCUUGCAAUCCUUUCAAUGAAAUUAAUAUUUAUAUAUUUGUAACUGUACAUUAUGCAGAGUAAUCAUUACCAUGGUAUUUAUUUUAAAGCAAUAGUUCCACUGUUCUUUCUUGUCCACAUGUUUUGCUCUUGCCUCUUUCCCUCCUCCUUAAUCAGCCUCAGUAGAAAACAAACACCAGAAAACUGUUCAGCUUGCUUGAAGAUCAUUGGAACACCAGCACUUGCUCUACUGCCAUCAACUAUUGACAUUCAAUGCACAAUAACCUGAUUUCCAUUGCUGUGAAUAGAUCAUCUGAUUAGAAAACCUCAGUUUGGGUUUAGUACUUGCUGUUUCUGACUGAGUGACACCAGCCCUGGCUACCCCAGGUCCCUGUGCUCAGUAGCUGGCCCACCCUCUGCAUGUGUAGUGCUGCACUCAUAGGAGGUAGGCUCUAGUUUUUCACCUGCAUUUUGCCCCCACACAUACAUGUACACAUAAACACUUUUGUUUUGUUCACACAAAUCUUAGCAAUCUGAGUCCAGAAAAGGGUUUGGUUUAGAUUCUGAUAAAUAUUUUAUUAAAAACUGAUUU